GACGAACGCUGGCGGCGUGCUUAACACAUGCAAGUCGAACGGAAAGGCCCUGCUUUUGUGGGGUGCUCGAGUGGCGAACGGGUGAGUAACACGUGAGUAACCUGCCCUUGACUUUGGGAUAACUUCAGGAAACUGGGGCUAAUACCGGAUAGGAGCUCCUGCUGCAUGGUGGGGGUUGGAAAGUUUCGGCGGUUGGGGAUGGACUCGCGGCUUAUCAGCUUGUUGGUGGGGUAGUGGCUUACCAAGGCUUUGACGGGUAGCCGGCCUGAGAGGGUGACCGGCCACAUUGGGACUGAGAUACGGACCAGACUGCAACGGGAGGCAGCAGUGGGGAAUAUUGCACAAUGGGCGGAAGCCUGAUGCAGCAACGCCGCGUGCGGGAUGACGGCCUUCGGGUUGUAAACCGAUUUCGCCUGUGACGAAGCGUGAGUGACGGUAAUGGGUAAAGAAGCACCGGCUAACUACGUG
rnacentral:rRNA from 1 species